AGUGGCAGACGGGUGAGUAAUGUAUAGGAAUCUACCUAGUAGUACGGAAUAAUUGUUGGAAACGGCAACUAAUACCGUAUACGCCCUACGGGGGAAAAAUUUAUUGCUAUUAGAUGAGCCUAUAUUAGAUUAGUUAGUUGGUGAGGUAAAGGCUUACCAAGACAAUGAUCUAUAGCUGAUCUGAGAGGAUGAUCAGCCACACUGGAACUGAGAUACGGUCCAGACUCCUACGGGAGGCAGCAGUGGGGAAUAUUGGACAAUGGGCGAAAGCCUGAUCCAGCCAUGCCGCAUGAGUGAAGAAGGCCUUCGGGUUGUAAAGCUCUUUUAGUGAGGAAGAUAAUGACGGUACUCACAGAAGAAGUCCUGGCUAACUCCGUGCCAGCAGCCGCGGUAAUACGGAGAGGGCUAGCGUUAUUCGGAAUCAUUGGGCGUAAAGGGCGCGUAGGCGGGUUAGUAAGUUAAAAGUGAAAUCCCAAGGCUCAACCUUGGAACUGCUUUUAAAACUGCUAGUCUAGAGAUUGAAAGAGGAUAGAGGAAUUCCUAGUGUAGAGAUGAAAUUCGUAAAUAUUAGGAGGAACACCAGUGGCGAANGCGUCUAUCUGGUUCAAAUCUGACGCUGANGCGCGAANGCGUGGGGAGCAAACAGGAUUAGAUACCCUGGUAGUCCACGCUGUAAACGAUGAAUGUUAAAUAUGGGAAGUUUACUUUCCGUAUUAUAGCUAACGCGUUAAACAUUCCGCCUGGGGNCUA
rnacentral:rRNA from 1 species